CCCUCCCCUGCCCUAUAAGAAUCCUCACCUCCUCUCUACUCUUUCCCCAUUUCAAAUCUCCAUUCCGGCGAGCCUCCUCUCGCCGGCAGCCCGCUCGCUCUUGAUUUCUCUCCCAGGUAAGUCGUUUCAACUCCUUUCCUUAGUGCUUUCCCCUGCGUUUUGUCAUCGAUCCCUCCCUAGGAGCUGGACCUCUGAAACCCUAGGCGUUAGCCUCCUCCUCCUCGCUCCGAUGGACUUCAACAACCCCGCCGCCCUCGAAACCCUCUCCCAGUGGUUCCUCCAGUCCCUCUCCCCCGACCCCGAACCUCGCCGCCGCGCGGAGUCUUCCCUCUCCGCCGCCUCCACCUCAUCUGGCUUCGCCCUUGCCGUCCUCAACCUCGUCGCCGCCGGCCCCGUCGACGAGCAGAUCCGCCUCGCUGCUGCUGUCCACUUCAAGAACCACCUUCGCUCCCGCUGGUCCCCCUCCUCCUCCGAUGACCUCCCCAUCCCCGAAGCUGAGAAGAACCAGAUCAAAGCCCUCAUCGUCUCCCUCAUGCUCAAAGUCCCCCGCCGCAUCGCCCCCCAGCUCUCCGAGGCCCUCUCCAUCAUCAGUUCCCACGACUUCCCCAAGGCCUGGCCCUCCCUCCUCCCCGAGCUCGUCUCCAACCUCCGAUCCGCCGCCGACUACUCCACUGUUAACGGCCUCCUCGCGGCCGCCAACUCCCUCUUCCUCAAGUUCCGCCACUCUUUCGACACCCCCGCCCUCCGCCUCGACCUCAAGUACUGUCUUGACGGCUUCGCCGCCCCACUCCUCGAGGUCUUCCUCAAGACCGCCCAGCUUAUCUCUGCUAAUGCCACCGCCGGCUCCCCUGACGUCCUCUGCCCCUUAUUUGAGUCCCAGCGCCUCUGCUGCGAGAUCUUCCACUCUCUCAACUCCAUCGAGCUCCCCGAGUUCUUCGAGGACCACAUGCGGGAGUGGAUGACCGAGUUCCGCAACUAUCUCACCACCACCUACUCGCCUGCCAUCGAGGCCGAGGGCACUGUCGAUGCCCUACGUGCUGCCAUCUGUGAGAAUCUUCAGCUCUACAUGGAGAAGAACGAGGAGGAGUUCAAGGACUACCUCAAGGACUUUGCCUCUGCUGUCUGGAAUCUUCUCACGACCUCUGCUACCACCACUUCCCGUGACCACCUAACCAUCACGGCUAUCAAGUUCUUGACCACUGUGAGCACCAGCGUCCACCAUUCUCUCUUCGGGAGCCCUGAAGCUCUCCAGCAGAUAUGCGAGAGCAUUGUAUUUCCCAACAUCCAGCUCCGGGAUGAGGAUGAGGAGCUCUUUGAGAUGAACUACGUUGAGUACAUUAGGAGAGACAUUGAGGGCAGUGACAUUGACACUCGGCGGAGGAUUGCCUGCGAGCUCCUUAAAGGGAUUGCCUUGAACUACAAGGAACAGGUGAUGGCGCAGGUGUCGAUGCAGAUUCAGAGGAUGCUGGCACUCUUUGCUUCUAAUCCAGGCGAGAAUUGGAAGGCAAAGGACUGUACCAUCUACCUUGUGGUCGCGCUUGCUCCCAAGGCGGGCACUGGGGGCGCUGCAUCUGGGUACCUGGUUGAUGUGGAGAGCUUCUUCGCAUCAGUGAUUGUCCCUGAGUUACAGGGUCAGGACGUGAAUGCCACCCCGAUUCUGAAAGCAGGUGCGCUCAAGUUCUUCACAGUGUUCAGGGAACAGAUCCCAAAGCCUGCUGCAAUUGCCCUGCUGCCGGAUGUUAUGAGGUUCUUGGGUUCUGAAUCGAAUGUGGUCCAUUCAUAUGCUGCAAACUGUAUCGAGAAGCUGUUGAUGGUGAAGGAUAGAGCUCCUGCCCAAGCACCUGGGUCGAAUGCUGUCAAUUUUGUUCCUCGUUAUGGUGCGUCAGAUAUCAACCCUAUUGUGCAGCAGCUGAUGCACAAUCUAUUUGCUGCACUUCAGUUCCCAGAUUCGCAGGAGAACCCGUAUAUCAUGAAGUGUAUCAUGAGGGUCCUUGGCAUUGCUCAUGUAACUGGCGAACUUGCUCAAGCCUGCAUUAAUCACCUAGCAUCCAUACUUGCAGAGGUAUGCAAGAACCCAAAGAACCCAACCUUCAACCACUACUUAUUUGAGGCAAUUGCAGCAUUGGUAUGGCGUUCCUGCGAGAAGGACCAGUCACUUAUUGUGGUAUUUGAAGGGUGCCUAUUCCAGGUCCUCGAGAAUAUCUUGGUCAAUGACAUCUCAGAGUUCUGGCCAUAUGCCUUCCAGAUCUUCGCAGAGUUAGUUGAGAUAAGAAAGCCACCUCUCUCAGACAGUUACAUGCAGCUGUUCCAGGUGCUCCUUACACCGGAAACUUGGAAGAAGUCAGCGAAUGUCCCGGCAUUGGUCCGGCUGCUGCAGGCAUACCUGCAAAAGGUGCCCAAUGAGCUCAACAAUGAAGGAAGAUUGAGCCAGGUCCUUGGGAUAUUUAACAAGCUGAUAUCAGUUUCAAGCACUGAAGAACUGGGUUUCUUUGUGCUCAAUACUGUGGUGGAAAAUCUUCACUAUGAUAUGAUAGCACCUUACAUUGGCACCAUAUGGAACGUCCUAUUCCUGAGGCUACAGAACAAGCGUACUGUUAAAUUUGUUAAUUCACUUGUGAUAUUCAUGUCAUUGGUUUUGGUCAAGCACGGGCCUGGCAUUCUCGUGGACUCGAUAAACGCAGUUCAAGCUAAUAUAUUUGGAGCGAUUCUUCAGCAGUUUUGGAUUCCAAAUUUGAAGCUGAUUUCGGGAGCCAUUGAAGUCAAGCUGACUGCAGUUGCUGCAACAAGACUGAUUUGCGAGUCUCCAAGUCUUUUGGAUGCUUCAGCAACGGAACUUUGGGGGAAGAUGCUUGACAGUAUCAUUACUUUGCUAGCCCAACCAGAUGAAUACAAAGGGGACCUAGAAAAUGAUACCCCAGAUAUACAUGAGACAGCUGGCUAUUCUGCAGCCUUUGUCCGCCUUCACUAUGCUGGGAAGAAGGAAGAGGAUCCUCUGAAGGAAAUACGGGACCCAAAAGAGUUUCUAGUCACCUCAUUAGCUAAACUUUCAGCACUUGCUCCAGGAAGGUAUCCUGCAGUCAUUGAAAAGUAUGUGGAGCCUUCUAACCAAGCUGCACUUCUACAGAUUUGUGGCACUUAUAAUUGUGCAAUAGUCUAGGGUCAUGUAGGAUCGUGGAGGAGAAAUGGAAGAUAUGCUGUUAAGAAUGGACAAAGGGUUAUUACUAGCAGGAUGAGUGAGGAGUGGAUUGAUACUUGGAACUACGUGGAUGAUGUAAUGAGGGGAGGCCUGGACUCAAUAGCUGGGAAGCAACUUGGCUUAUUUUUCCAAUUGCCGCUUGGAAACAGUAGAUUUUGCUUAAUGUUGUCUCCCGUGUAUUGGACAAACAGUUUUGAAAUGGAGUGGGAGCAGGAAAUUUAGUUGCACAAAGGCUAAUAGUUAUGAUUCUGGAUGCAAACCUAAAUUCUGAAUUCGAAAAUCAGUGGAAUGAAGGUGGUCGAUUUACUCUACAGGAAGUUUUUGUCGAAGGAGAAUUGUACAGAUGAGCAUCUGAAAUUGUGGGUGGCAUCCAACCUCCCAGACGCACCGAGUUGCAGAGUGCUUUGCCUCGUAUCCUUGACUUUUAAUCAACGAUGUUUGCUUGAGGGAAUGUUGUGCCUAAAAUUAGUAGAAAAGGCAUUUUGUUUUAAUUUUUAUUUGUGGGGGAUGGUGUCUGAUAUCCUACUUCUGGGUUUUAUGCUUCAUGUUACUGGCAUGUCUGUCUUGUUGUCAAAACUCCAUUUUUGUCCUCACUAUCUUCAUUUUCUCAGGAUAGCGAGAAUCUCAAAAGUGACUUUUUUUAAGGUUUUCAAAUUAUGUUAUCAGAGAGCAAAUUGUGGUGUGCCUCCCGUUUUGGCUGGCUGGAUGUUAGCUGGUAUACACAUUUUGCUAAGUUUGUACGAAUUAUCGUCUUCACUUCUUUUUGGGAAAUGCUACUUUUUGGUGUUUGGA